GUUGUGAAUAUGUUCAAGUUUUUGUGUAGACAAAUUCUCCUGAAUACAUGCCUAAGAGUGGAACUGCUGGGUCUCCCUUUAUUUUGCGGGGGAGUCACUUGACCUGGUUUAUGGGCUGAGCUAGGGAGCCGGUGGAGGGAGGGACACGGGAUGGGGAGGGAGAGGGAGGUGCUGGAAGAGAAGAGCUACUUCUUCCUGUGUCGUUAUUCGCUCUAACAGGACCCUGCAGGAGACUGAAACCAAGUUGGCUCGACAUUUACUAGACGUUCUGCACACACGUCACCCUCGCUGGCCAAGAAACAGAUUCAGUGCGUGAACAACGCCCCUCAGACCCCGCGGAGCUGGGUCGCGGCCGGGAGCCUCCUUUUCUGAUGCAGUUCAUAGUACUGGCGUCUCUUCUGCUUAGAACCUGGCCCGUUCAGGGUUGGUUUCUUCCCUUAGAUUCUUUCACAGGUGUUCAUGAAAAAAAUGCACAAAAUCCAGACUGACCGGAAUAAUUCAUGAAGAAGGGGCUGGAUCCGUGGGUCAGAGAACACAGGACCAGUUUGCCAUCCCAAGGCCGAAGUCUGGUGACUCGGAUUUGGCCCUGCGUUGCCCACUCCUGCUGCACCUUACCCAGUCGAGGAACGAAAGGCCUUGACACCUUCCUGGAGUAUGGGAAGAAAGGAUGUUCUGAAAGCACAGAUCCAAGACCGCCAGAGGCCGGGGACAGCGAUGCCUGGAGGGGCCACUCACACACCACCAGGAGCUGAGCAGAACUGGAGCAGGAGGAACAUGGGCCCAACAAGGUUGGAAAUACCAGAAAUCCCAAAAGCCAUCUACAUCAGUCCCCAGGAAACCUGUGUGGUACCUACUGAGUGGAAGACAACAACUUGCAACUGCAAAAGCUGGAAUAAAGGCCUGAGAAGCCAGAGAAGCCACAAGGGUCCAGGCCCAAAGCUGUCAGAGUAACCUCGGGGGAAUUGUAUACCAAAUUAUGACCAGUUGUGCCAGCAGACAUUGAGAAAAGACCUCCUUUCCAUUGGCUCCCAUCACACCUGGAUACCACUGCUCCUGGGAUCUGGACCAUCUUACCUUUGAGCAUCAUUUCCUGUUUCAGCUGUGGGAGUUCCGGUCCAUUUUCCCUGUGAGGAAACCUUCACUUUUUCCUCCUUUGGAGUUCUGAAUUAGACUCUCUUACCUGGAACUGGUCAAGUUAGGCUAAACGCACCUCUAGGCGUUCCUGUUUCUCAGAAGUUGUCAAGUUCACAUCCCACCUGUUUCACUGGUGACCAGGGGUCCACUUCUAGCAGAUGCUACCUGGCCUGGUCAGUAUUUCUCAUGGUCAUCUCUUGAGUGCCUUUAUCUCGUCCCCUGCCCAACUCAGGUGAGACUUGCCCACUGGUGACUGGUUCUCUCCUGGUACUUUAGAUGGGGAGAGAAAAUGUGGCUCGGGGGAUCUGCCAUCUUCGCCAGUUUGGAGACGAUUGGAGCACGGCUCCAUCUAGGGAGGAAAAUGGCUCCAAAGGAGAUUGCCUUUAUCUCAGCUUCUGCCUAGUUCUACUCUCACAAUCCUUAUCCUUGCCCUCUGCACCUGUCCUAAUCCAGGAGAAUUGCUUUUCUUUUUUCAAUUAAAUAUAACUGUGGCUAUUUUCAUUUUUGCAAAACAGCGCAGGCUUGUUACAAAACAUCAGAAAUAAAGACAAAUAGAAGACAAAAACUACCUCCAAAUCUUAUCCCAAAGACAACUAUCCAUUCGUAUAGUUAUACAAUAUAUUUAAAUGUAACGAUAAUGUCACAAUAUCAUUUGUAUUCUUUGAUAACACCUUGUCAUUUAAUGCCUUAUGAAUAUAUUUCUAUAGCAACAAGCUCAGCUGUUCUGAAAUUGUAAGAGUGCGCAAUUAUAUAAAUAUGCCUUCGUUUUUCUCAUCUCACAUAGUUUAAUGUUUAGGUUGUUUCUUACAUUUCUAUAUUGUCAUUGAUGGACAUGGUUUUAGUUUAGUCUUCCUAUAAUUAUUUCCUUAAGGUAAAUCCUUAGAAAGGAAUCGAAGGAUGAGUAUUAAAGGUUGUGAAGCUCUCCAAAUCUGAAGCCAGCAAUAACUGUUGAGACGCCCUUAGAAAGAAGGGCUCUGGGAAGGCCACACAUGCCCUUUUCUAGCUGCCUUCCAUAUCUACACUUGGGCAGCCCUGAGUUUUACCCUGCCCAGAACAGAGAAUAGCCCUGAAUGAUGGCAGAGGAACAGGUAGUAAAUGAGGGAGUGGUGGUGUCAGUUUGGGUUUGGUUUGUGGGUAAACCUCACAGCUCCUCACUGGAGGUUGAGAAAUGAUUAUUCACUCAUUACCCAUUUAUGGAGCAGCCAUUACUUCCGGGUUCCAGGCUAGAGGCUGAGAAGACAGAGAUGGAUUAAACAGGAACCUCUUCUCUCAGGAAUAGCAUAGCCUAGGGAAGGCCUGUGAUAGACAGCACACAUUUACUCCAUGGUAAAGAGGAAAAAUAUAAGAUCAGUAAUAUAUCUCAGGGCAGAAAAUUGGAACCAUCUGAAAUCACACAGGAAAAAUGUGAGGUUCCUGUAGUCAACUGGCCCAUUCAUCUCAGCUAACACCUUUGUGUGGACCCUUUAGUGGUAAGACUUGCUUGCUUGUGGUCAUUCUUGCUGGACACAACCUUCCUAAGGAAUUACCUGUGUCCUUCCUUUGUACCUAUAGCAAACUGGUACCAUCUUAUACCAUGGC
ensembl:lincRNA